rnacentral:rRNA from 1 species
GAUGAACGCUGGCGGCGUGCUUAACACAUGCAAGUCGAACGAGAAGUGGAGACGGAAACCUUCGGGCGGAAGACUUUACUUCGAGUGGCGGACGGGUGAGUAACGCGUGGGUAACCUGCCUCAUACAGGGGGAUAACAGUUGGAAACGACUGUUAAUACCGCAUAAGACCACAGCACCGCAUGGUGCGGGGGUAAAAACUCCGGUGGUAUGAGAUGGACCCGCGUUCGAUUAGCCAGUUGGCGGGGUAACGGCCCACCAAAGCGACGAUCGAUAGCCGAUCUGAGAGGAUGACCGGCGACACUGGGACUGAGACACGGCCCAAACUCCUACGGGAGGCAGCAGUGGGGAAUGUUGCACAAUGGGGGAAACGCUGAUGCAGCGCCGCCGCGUGAGUGAAGAAGUAUUUCGGUAUGUAAAGCUCUAUCAGCAGGGAAGAAAAUGACAGUACCUGAGUAAGAAGCCCCGGCUAACUACGUG